GACGAACGCUGGCGGCGUGCUUAACACAUGCAAGUCGAACGAUGAAGCCCAGCUUGCUGGGUGGAUUAGUGGCGAACGGGUGAGUAACACGUGAGCAACGUGCCCGAAACUCUGGAAUAACUACCGGAAACGGUGGCUAAUACUGGAUAUGUGCCAGGUAGGCAUCUCCUCUGGUUGGAAAGAUUUUUCGGUUUCGGAUCGGCUCACGGCCUAUCAGCUUGUUGGUGGGGUAAUGGCCUACCAAGGCGACGACGGGUAGCCGGCCUGAGAGGGUGACCGGCCACACUGGGACUGAGACACGGCCCAGACUCCUACGGGAGGCAGCAGUGGGGAAUAUUGCACAAUGGGCGCAAGCCUGAUGCAGCAACGCCGCGUGAGGGAUGACGGCCUUCGGGUUGUAAACCUCUUUUAGUAGGGAAGAAGCGCAAGUGACGGUACCUGCAGAAAAAGCACCGGCUAACUACGUG
rnacentral:rRNA from 1 species